GACGAACGCUGGCGGCGCGCCUAACACAUGCAAGUCGAACGAGCGAGAGAGAGCUUGCUUUCUUGAGCGAGUGGCGAACGGGUGAGUAACGCGUGAGGAACCUGCCUCAAAGAGGGGGACAACAGUUGGAAACGACUGCUAAUACCGCAUAAGCCCACGGUGCCGCAUGGCACAGAGGGAAAAGGAGCAAUCCGCUUUGAGAUGGCCUCGCGUCCGAUUAGCUAGUUGGUGAGGUAACGGCCCACCAAGGCGACGAUCGGUAGCCGGACUGAGAGGUUGAACGGCCACAUUGGGACUGAGACACGGCCCAGACUCCUACGGGAGGCAGCAGUGGGGAAUAUUGCACAAUGGGGGAAACCCUGAUGCAGCGACGCCGCGUGGAGGAAGAAGGUCUUCGGAUUGUAAAAUCCUGUUGUUGGGGAAGAUAAUGACGGUACCCAACAAGGAAGUGACGGCUAACUACGUG
rnacentral:rRNA from 1 species